AGGGCCGGAGUCUGAGGGUUCAGGAGGCAAGGGGCGGAGCCCUGAGGGAUUCGGGGCCUGGAGGAGGUGAGGAGGCAUUGGGACCCAGGCUUGGGCUCUUCUGAGAGUUCGGCGUCACAGAAUAGGCGGCGGGAGGAAGAGGAGGAGGAGGAGGCUGUACCUGUAGGGUCGUGACCACAUUUAAGGCGACAGGAUCCUUGCCUAAAGCGCGGGGUCUGCGACCGGACUGGAAGAAUGGGAAGGCUGCUCGGUGUGAUUCCAAACCUCCUUAGAAUCUGAUCCCUUAGGCAGUGCCUAGCCCGGUCAGGUCCCAGGUCCUGAACUGGUCCUGGCUGGUGUAACCUAGGUGCCAAGGUUAAGGUAAAGCCUGACACUGCUAACGAUUCCUUCGUUCCAGCACGAUUUUUCACACUCUGCUUUCUCUUUCCUGGCAAGGGAUGGACCCACUCACUCACUGAUUGCCUCGGUCUAGACCGCUGUUCCCCAGAGAGCCGGUGGCUCGCUCCCACCCUUCCCGCAGGAAUCUGCUCAGAUGUUUACCACGGGAGAGGUUCUCCUGACCAAAGUAUCUAAAAUUGCAGUUCCCGCCGACCUCCCAACGGCAUCCCCUAACCCUCUGUUUUCCUUGUAGUUCCUACCGCCGCCUGGCAUCACGCCCACGCAAGGCAUGGCGGAGACAGCUGGCGGGAGCUGAGAGGGAAGACAGCAUGAACACUGGGGUUGAGACUUCGGGGUGUGGUGGGGGAGAGAUCUGAGUAGGCGCCCGGUUUGCAGUUAACUCUAGAGGAUUAAUGAACUGUAACGCUGGGGAGGCGAGCAGGCCUAGACGGGGGUGGAUCUUGUACCUCUGACUUACUUCAUGUACCCUGUCUUGGAACACUGGAUGAAUAUUAAUUAGAUCAUUGUUACAAAUUAGUUGCCUUUGAUUAUAGGAUUGACAAAGGCAACUAAUUUGUCAAUUAGUCUCGUCAUUUUUGUGGUGGCCAAACAGGCCAGAAAGUGGAACUUUAGAAGCCUGCAUGUGGCCUUGCCAGCACAAAGCAGUUAAGCCAGCUGAAAACUGACCUUUUAACCCUCUAACCAAGUGCAGUCGUUACAUAAAAAACAAGUAGCUUUUCAAAAACUUAGUAUUUUAAUAAGAAAAAGUAGGAUGCAAUCCAUACUAAACUUAGACCCCAAAUAAUUUCACAAAUAGAAAAAUAUAUCAGUUGAACAAUGAGAAUAGUUAUAUAAGCAACAAAAAAUAAUUUGAAAAUAAGCAAAGUUUGUAUGCACAAUGUAACCAAAAAUUGACCUUUUAAAUGUUUGCACUUUGGAAUUUCUUGAGAAAAGAUAGUCCCUCCUGAGCUUUAGGACUGGUGGCUACUGUCAGCUUUGCCUUACUGUCCACCACUUUGCUGUACCAUUUCUCACCCCAAACCCUCCCCCACCUUCUCCCUCCCCCUAGGUAGAAGUUCUGGCCCUCCCUAGGGAACCCUCCCCAAGUGGCACGUGAGGCUGUGAGAGCAGAGCUCCUCUGAACACACAGCUGGCAGGGCUCUGCAGGGUGGUUUUCUUUUCUUUUUCAAUCUUAAUAUUUUUUUUUGUUUUAUUGGAGUAUAAUUGCUUUACAAUGUUGUGUUAGUUUCUGCUGUACAAUGUAUACGUAUAUCCCCUCCCUCUUGGACCUCCCUCCCACCCAUCCCCAUCCCACCCAUCUAGGUCGUCACAGAGCACUGAGCUGAGCUCCCUGUGCUAUACAGCAGGUUCCCACUAGCUAUCUGUUUUACACACGAUAGUGUAUAUAUGUCAAUCCUAAUCUCCCAAUUCAUCCCACCCUCCCCUUCCCCCACUGUGUCCACAUGUCCAUUCUCUAUGCCUGCGUCUCUAUUCCUGCCCUGGAAAUAGGUUCAUCUGUACCAUUUUUCUAGAUUCCACAUACAUGCGUUAAUAUACGAUAUUUGUUUUUCUCUUUCUGACUUACUUCCCUCUGUAUGACAGACUCUAGGUACAUCCACAUCUCUACAAAUGACCCAAUUUCAUUCCUUUUUAUGGCUGAGUAAUAUUCCAUUGUAUAUAUUUACCACAUCUUUAUCCAUUCAUCUGUCGUUGGACAUUUAGAUUGUUCCAUGUCCUGGCUAUUGUAAAUAGUGCUGCAAUGAACUUUGGGGUACAUGUGUCAUUUUGAAUUAUGGUUUUCUCAGGGUGUAUGUCCAGUAGUGGGAUUGCUGGGUCAUAUGGUAAUUCUAUUUUUAGUUUUUUAAGGAACCUCCAUACUGUUCUCCACAGUGGCUGUAUCAAUUUACAUUCCUACCAACAGUGCAAGAGGGUGCAGGGUGGUUUUCUAUUCCUCUUUUAGCCUUGUUGGUUGGGUGACAAUGUGUCAGUGUUGCAAAGGGGAAACGUGCUCCCAGAUGUGUGCACUGGGCAUGAUGAACUCCACAGAGAAUUAUCAUCCCCAGGAAACCCAAUUCAAGCAAAUGUGCUUGACUGACCUCACCAAGGUCUCAGUUAUGAAGACCUCUCAGUUCUCAAAUGGAAGGAGGAAGGAAUUAACAUUUAUAUGCCAAGCACAUUACAUGUGAUAUCUCAUCCAGUGCUCACAAAGAAUACCUUUAUUAUUCACAGUUUUCUGAGGCUCAUAAAGGUAAUAGCUUCAUGCAGCUCACACAAAGCUGAAUUUGAAUCCUGGUCCGCUAAUGUCCAAGCUCACGCUCUGCUCAUCUCCUGUGACUCGGUAUUCAACUUUAGCUCAAAGUUUGUGAAAUGUGGCUGGAUAGUGAAAGUGUGGGAAUCUUGGCUUGGCCAGGUCACAAGUGUCAAUUUUUUGAGCCAUAAGACAAUGAAGUGCCAAGAACAAAUCUGUCCUCAGUAAACCACACCGUGUAUUUCUAACACCAGUCUCAGAGAUCUGUGCCAGAUCCAAGGUGGUUUGUGUGACUUCACUGAUUUUGUGUGAAUGGCCACUCCCACUCACUUGAAGCAGGGUAGAAUGGGUGAGAAUGUAAUGGCUAAUGGGUAGUCAAUCAGGGUUCUAAAUGACAAAUGACAACCUCUCUGGGCUUCAGUGCCUCAUCUAUAAAAUGAGAAAGUUAGACCUAGAUGGACUAAGGUCCCUUCUUUUAGAAAACUGGGGUAGAUAAUUUUUUUAAAUUGAGAUAUAAUUCCCGUAUCAUACAAUUUGCCCGUUUAAAGUAUAUGAUUCACUGGUUUUAGUGUAUUCACCGAGUUGUGCAGCCAUCACCACAGUCAAUUUUAGGACAUUUUCAUCACUGCACCCUUUAGCUAUCACCUCUGACCCCCUCAUCCUCCCUAGACCUACGUAACCACUAAUCUCCCCUUUGUCUCUAUAGAUGUCCCUGUACUGGACAUUUCACAGAAAUGGAAUCAUAUAGUAUGUGGCCUCUUGUGUCUGACUCCUUUUGCUUAAGAUGUUUUCAAGGUUUGUCCAUAUUGUAGCAUGUGUCAGUGCUCCAUUACUACAUAACAUUCCAUUGUAUGGGUAUACUAUAUUUUAUCCAUUUAUCAGUUGAUGGACUGGGUUGUUUCCACCUUUUGGAAACUGUGAACAUUCAUGUACUGCUGUGAACAUUCAUGUACAAGUUUUCAUGUGGGCAUAUGUGGUUUUUUUAAAUUAAUUAAUUAAUUUUGGUGGGCAGCAUUGGGUCUUCUAAAAAAAGUCCCUGUCUUUUUUUAUAAAUAAAGUUUUAUCAGAAACUCCACACCCAUUUGUUUACAUACUGCCCAUGGCUGCUUUCAUACUGUAACAGCAGAGUUGAAUAGUUGCAACAGAGAUUGUGUAGCCCACAGAGCCUAGAAUAUUGACUAUCUGGUCCUUAACAGAAAACGUUUGCUGACUCAUCUAAAUCAAAUGGACUCUGACACCGUUCUCCCUAUCAAGCCCCAAACACUCUCAACCCAGUUUCCUCCCCAGUCUGCUCCACUCCAGCUUGUCUGCCCUCCUCUCUGUCCCUCUUGAAGAAAGAGAAAAAUAGAUUCCUCCUUCCAUGUGUAGAAAAGGAAGGCCCAGAUGAAACCGAGUAUGGUCAGGUUUCUGUUCCUCCUCAGCAGUAGUGGGGGCACAGGACUAGGAAGGGGACCACCAGCUGCUCCCUGAAUCCCACCUCUCUCCACCCCCAGCUAAAGACUGACUGAGGGAGAGGGAAGCCUGGUCCCUGGUUUGCUCUGUGGUCUGGGAGAAGUCCCUGCCUCUCCAAGCCUCAUCAUUCCCCUCCUGUUACCAGAGGAGAGGGAAUAGACAGAUCCCAAAGAUGAUUCCAGUUCUCACAUUCUAGGACUAGGACCAUGACCUCCAUGCCCCUCUCCAAAGGCAAAGCAAGAAACCAGCUGUUAACAGAGCACGGUAAUAAAAAGUUCAUAAGCCAUAGCUGGCCACAAUCAAUCCUGGUAAUUCCUCACUUCUCCAGAGGGUAGGCAUACACUCAAAACAGAGGAGAUGUGAGCCUGGUCAGACAGGGCUGGACCAGCCCACUUGACAGACCCCAGGCCCAGGGGGUACAGCAGAGCUUGGGCAGUGGCAAUGUCACCUGCUUUCUCCAUCCUAUCACAUCCCAUGGAAUCAACAACUAUGGGAUAGGUUCAGUGUCUGGAGGCAGUGGCCCUUCUGCAGUAACUCCCAGAUCUCCACCUACAUCUGGGACCCAGGUCUCCCCACAGUUCCAGCCACACCCACAGUGGCCAACAUUUAUCCAGCACUUACUUUCUAUGCAUUUGAUCCUCUCCACAACCUGAUGAGGUGGGGAUGCUUAUCAUCAACUCCAACUCCUCCUGGGUGUCUUUUCUCAGCUAGCCUGUCUGACCUGCCCCUCUACCUGUGUUUUCAAUUCAGUGAAUGAUUCCAGCAAUUGGUGUGUUCGUUUUCUAUUGUUGUUGUAAUAUAUGACCACUUAGUGCCUUAAAACAAUAUCCUUUUAUUCUCUCCCAGGUUUGCAGGUUAGAAGUCCAGGAUGGCAUGGCUGGGUUCCUUGAUCAGUGCUUACAAAGGUACCAGUUCCACAGACAGUCUCUGCCCUCCUGGAGCUUUCUGUGUUGUGAGAUGGAGGGACCCCAACAAUGAACAUGGCUGCGGUAAGUGCUGAGAGUGGCCAUUCUAUUGGGCCCUGCCACCAGGCUGUCUUCAGCCCUGCCCUCCCCCUUCUUCACCUCCAGGCUUUACCAGCACCCCCUCCCCCCAGCCAUUCCACAAAUCUCAGUAGGAAGCAGCUUUUUCCCAGAUCUCUUCCUAGGUUCCAGUUCUUAGAGUUCCUGAUGCUUCCCAGUCAUGGAACACAGCAGUAGAGUUCAUUUGGAACCCCUGGGGAGGCAAGGACUUUCUCUAGCUCCCUCUGAUGCCUGGCACGGUGUUUGACACAUACUAGAUGCUCAGUACAUUUUUUGGAAUGAAUAGAGAGUCCGAUAGGCAAUGGUGGAGACACAAACCUCCUCAGCAUCUUCUCUACUCCUGACGGUCUGCGAACUCCACAGAAAAUGCUGGCAGCAAAAACUCCAGCCGCUCAGAGUUCUAGCCCAUGGGUGCCUACGCUGGCAUCCUCUGCCCUGGCCUUAGCUGUAAAUUGCAGCUGGAGCCCCAGGAUGUUGCUGCUUGGGGAUCAGCUAUUUCAGGACCAGAGCUCACUCCAUGGCACGAAGUCUGGCAGGCAUGCCAGUGUCAAGUCCAAGGAGAGCAAGGGAGAAGGAUGAGAUUUUCUGGGCACAAGAACAGAAAAUGUGCCCAUCAAGCACUAUGCUCAAGAAUCCCGUUAAGCAGUGGGAGGCAGCUGGCACUGUGGAGACAGGGCAGGUUUUGCAUGCACGUGCAUGCACCCAGAAACACACACACACACACACACACUCACAUCAACACAUCACCAACUUCUACCAAAACAGCAAAGAAAACAGGAGAGUCUCCAACAGAGGAGAGAUUUCCCUGAUUUUUGAGAGCAUGCAAAGCCAAUGGAAGAGGGUAGCAGAUGAAGCGGGUUGGCAGAGCUGCAGCCCAGGAGAGGCUUCGGGGGUGGCGGGGGCACUGCAGAGGGAACUUGCCUUGCAUGGCACCCACAGGCCCCGGGACUGUGUGAGUGGGAGUCAGAACUGAAACAGUGGCAGCACCGGCCCGCACCACCUCCUCCUCUCUCCAGGCAGCCCCAGACAAAAAACCCAUCUGGGAAAAGCACGGGCUUUCAGUAGGUGUUGGUGGCCCAAAGUAGAGUCUGCCUCAGGCUGCGAUUGGGGAUCCAGGGCUGACAACGGACUCAGUGGCCACCCUCCCCCUCUCCCCACCACCAACUGGAGCCACAGUCCAUGGCCCACAGCAGCUGCCUCAGCACAAAGUGCCCAACCAUAACACAAAGUGUCUCGUGGAACUGUCUCAGCUUCCCAUCUGUUAAAUGUCUGGAUUAGGUGGUCGCUAGGGUCCCUUGGACUUCUAAAAAUAUCAUCCUCCCCACUAGUUUUAUCCCUGCCAGAAAUCAAAUCCACAUGCCACUGGCCGCCCCAGGUCACUGGCUGGGAAAGUGGGAAGGAGGGAGAGUCAAUGCUGAUGCCCUACAUUAACCCUAACCCUAACCCUCCUAAGGGCCAGCAUUCCCAGUGUCAAAUUGUGUCCCCCAAAGCCAUCUGUUCAAGUGCUAAUCCUUGGUACCUGUGCACAUGACCUUAUUUGGAAAUAGGGUUUUGUAGAUGUAAUCAAGUAAAGAUGAGCUCAUUAGGGUGGACCCUAAUACAAUAUGACUGGUGUCCUUAUAAGAAGAGGGAAAAAUGCCAUGUGACAAUGGAGGCAGAGAUUAGAGAGAUGUGUCUACAAGCCAAGGAACACCAGGGAUAGCAGUGACACCAGAAGCUAAGAGAAAGGUACAGAACAGAUUCUCCCCUAGAACCUGCAGAGAAAGCACAGCCCUGCGGAUACUUUGAUUUUGGACUUCUAGCCUCUAGAAUUAUGAGACAAUAAGUUUGUAUUGUUUUAAGCCAAGCCAGCCCUAGGAAACUAACACACCGAGCCAGUCCCCAGGAUAUGCUUAUUGAACAAAUGAAUACCUCUCCUCCCCACCCCAAUCUAUCAUCAUGAGGGAACAGAAAAGGAAGCAGACCCACCCCUCAGAUUGGAAGGGUUCAGGGCAAGAGCAUAGAUGGAGUCCUGUUCCCUCCUCCUCUAUUUCCACCUAUCCGUCCCACCCUGUUCUGUAUAGUGAGGGACCCACACUCUGUCCACGAAUUCCCCCACACACACACCUUGGCCUCCCUUCAGGGACAGCUCUCUCUCUGAAUAGCAGAUCGAAGGAGAGGUCUGGGCAGGCAGUAGUAAUGGACUCAGGGCUGACUGGGCAGGGAAUUCCUGGACCUGGAGGAUUGGGGGUGGGGAGACACACCCCCUUGAUCUUGCAAAUGCCUCACCCCAGCCCACUAAAGCUCAGGCCCAGAAGUGAACAGCCACACAUCCAGCAUGCACCUAACAGCAGCAGGGAGCCCUUUCCUGGCAGCAUCUCACUCAAUCCUCAUUCUGUUUUAAAGGCGAAAAAGCUGAAGCACAGUAAAGUUGAAGAAUCUGUCCAGGGCUAAAAAGCUGAUAAACUAUAUAUCUGGGAUCAAAUCCUGAUCUGUUUGACUCCCAGACACUUCCUUUCUCCAUAUAACAUGCUUUUCCCUAGACCUGGUUUAAUUGGUAAACUGCCAAAACCUUAUAAAAUAGUUUAAAAACAAACAAUUUUUUAAAAAAACAAGCCAUCAAAGUAACUUAGUACUAGAGAAAGAAUAGAGAGGCUGGAAAUAGACCCAAACACAUAUUAGAAUCUAGUAUAUCACAAAAGCUUUUUAAAUAAAUGGAUGGAAAGGGAAAGAAUUCAAUAAAUGGCAUCAGGACAAUGGCAAGCCAUCUGGAAGAAAGCAAAGCUGGAGCCCUGCCUUGUCGCUCACACUCGCCAGUAAAACUGAUGAUCAAAAUUUUUCAUAUAAACAAUAAAACCACAAAAGCACUAGAAAUUUUUCCUUAAAAUACAAAAAGAUUUUCCAAAGCACUAAGAGACAACUCUAUAGAAAAACUGGACAAGAACAGAACAGAAAGUUCACAGAAAAGGAAACAUAAAUGACCUAUAAAAAUAUGAAAUGUCAGCACCCUUCUGAACUAAAGAAAUGUAAAUGAAAACAGACACAACAACCUCCUCCCCCUGAAAAAAGAUUGCUAAAACCCAGUCUUUGAAAGCGAUGGAGAGACACUGUUAGAACAAGUGUAAACUGCCCCUCUUUAGAGGACAAUUGGACCAUACUGCAUCCAUCAAAACAUAAAUGUUAGGGAUUUAUCCCCGGAGAGACUCACAAAAGUACCAAAGAUAGUGCACAAGAUUCACUGCAAACUUGCUCAAAAUAGCAAAAACACUAAAACUAAAGUCCUUCAGUAGGGGCUGGUUAAAUACAUUAUAGAAAUCCAUACAACAUGAUAUGACAACACAUUAAAAGAAUAAGAUCUAUCUAUCUAUCUAUGGUGAAUAAGAUUUAUCUCUAUCUAUGGUGAAAUCUAUCUAGAUUUAUCUCUAUCUAUCUCUAUCUAUGGUGAUUUAUCUCUAUCUAUAGAAAUCCAUACAACAUGAUAUGACAACACAUUAAAAGAAUAAGAUUUAUCUAUGGUGAAGUAGAAAAAUUUCCCAGCUAUGUUGAUAAGUGGAAACAAGUUGCCAGAACAAUAUGUUAUUUAAUGUACAUAAACAAACAAAUAUAUAUGUAUAUAUUUGCAUAUAUACACGAAAACUUAAUAGUGAAUAUCUCUGGAGAGCUUAAAUCAGGGAAGAGGUGUUAGGGAGGAAAGACAUUUAACUUUUGCUUUAUACUCUUGUGUACUAUCUGAAAAUGUUUUUAACAUAAAUAUUAUCACCUUUAAAAUAAUACAUUUUAAAUUCCAAAGCCAAAAUCCUGACGCUAUAGAAACCCAACUUUCUGAAGAGCCAAGCUGACUUUUCUAAGCUCUCAGCUUUACACAGUAAGGUUUGUCCCAAGCAGUUGUGUUUGAGGAAGCUUCCAUCCUCUGGAAUCCCACUUGAUGAUCCCUCUCUCCUUAGCCUCUGUUCUGAAAUCUCAGGCUUCACUUUUGGGGAGAUACCAACUGCCGCUAAGGCAACUGAACUUCUAUUUGAACUUCAGCUCCUAGAGUAAGCAUCUAGCUUGAUAAAUAAAAAGUCAAUUAAAAACUCAUCCUUAAUUUAAAAAUGGGCAAGUAAACAUUUCUCCUAAGGUAUGCAAACAGCCAUUAAGCACAUGAAAAGUUGCUCAGCAUCAUUAGCCAUCAGGCAAAUGCAAAUCAAAACCACAGUGAGAUAUUACUUCACACCCACUAGGAUAACUAUAAUGAAAAAGUCAGAUAACAGCCAGUAUUGAUGAGAAUGAGGAGAAAUUGGAACACUUGUACGCUGCUGGUACGAAUGUGAAAUGGUGCAGCCAUUUUGGAAAACAGCCUGGCAGUUCCCCCAAAAGCUUAAGAGUUACCACGGACCCAGCAAUUCUAUUCUAGGUACAUACCCAGAGACGAAUCAAAAACAUAUGCCCAUAUACCCUGAGAAAACCAUAAUUCAAAAAGAGUCAUGUACCACAAUGUUCAUUGCAGCACUAUUUACAAUAGCCAGGACAUGGAAGCAACCUAAGUGUCCAUCGACAGAUGAAUGGAUAAAGAAGAUGUGGCACAUAUAAACAAUAGAAUAUUACUCAGCCAUAAAAAGAAACGAAAUUGAGUUAUUGGUAGUGAGGUGGAUGGACCUAGAGACUGUCAUAGGAGUGAAGUAAGUAAGAAAGAGAAAAACAAAUACCGUAUGCUAACACAUAUAUAUGGAAUCUAAAAAAAAAAAAAAGGUUCUGAGGAACCUAGGGGCAGGACACGAAUAAAGACACAGACGGAGAAUGGACUUGAGGACAUAGGGAGGGGAAGAGUAAGCUGGGACGAAGUGAGAGAGUGGCAUGGACAUACAUACACUACCAAAUGUAAAGUAAAUAGCUAGUGGGAAGCAGCCGCAUAACACAGGGAGAUCAGCUUGGUGCUUUGUGACCACCUAGAGGGGUGGGAUAGGGAGGGUGGGAGGGAGCCGCAAGAGGGAAGGGAUAUGGGGAUAUAUGUAUACGUAUAGCUGAUUCACUUUGUGAUGCAGCAGAAACUAUAACACACAAUUGUAAAGCACUUAUACUCCAAUAAAGAUGUUAAAAAAAAACCAAAACAUAUGCCCUGAGGGCUUCCCUGGUGGCGCAGUGGUUGAGAGUCUGCCUGCCGAUGCAGGGGACACGGGUUCGUGCCCCGGUCCGGGAAGAUCCCACAUGCCGCGGAGCGGCUGGGCCCAUGAGCCAUGGCCGUUGAGCCUGCGCGUCCGGAGCUUGUGCUCCGCAACGGGAGCUUGUACUCCGCAACAGUGCGAGGCCCACAUACCUCAAAAAAAAACCCAAAAACAAACAAAAAACAAAAAACAAACAUAUGCCCUGGGACUUCCCUGGUGGCACAGUGGUUAAGAAUCUGCCUGCCAAUGCAUGGGACAUGGGUUUGACCCCUGGUCUGGGAAGAUCCUACAUGCCGUGGAGCAACUAAGCCCGUGCACCACAACUGCUGAGCCUGUGCCCUAGAGCCUGCGAGCCACAACUACAUUUAAGCCCAUGCGCCUAAAGCCCGUGCUCCGCAACAAGGGAAGCCACCGCAAUGAGAAGCCUGCGCGCCGCAAUGAAGAGCAGCCCCCGCUCGCUGCAAUUAGAGAAAGCCCACACGCAGCAGCAAAGACCCAACGCAGCCAAAAAUAAAUAAAUAAAUAAAUAAAUAAAUAAAUAAAUAAAUAAAUAAAUAAAAAGUUAUUUAUAAAAAAAAAAAGACAGCGGGCUAGAUUUGUUGCAUGGGCUGUAUGUAGCUCACUGUAGUUCCUUGUUUGGAUGGUGGUGGCGGUGCUGGUGGUGGCAGCAGCGGCUUCCCCUAUCCUCACCUCCUUUUUAUCAUCAAUACCAUUAUUUGGAACCCAGUUAUGGAAGGUUUUAGACACCUAAAUAAUUUGCUGACAACACAGAGCCAUUAAAAUAUUUUUAAAAAAUAGAAAUAUGAUUGUUUUCAGUUUUAAAAAAUUUUGAAUAAGUAAUAUAUUCACAUGGUUCAAAAUUAUACCGAAAAGUUAUACAGUGAGAAGUGUCCCUCCCACCCCUAUUUCAGUUACCAAUUUUACUAACCAGAAGCAACCAAUGAGACCCAUUUCCUACUUCGCCUUCUAUAGAUAGACCAUAUCUUGUCUAUAUACAAAUGCUUUUCCCAUUUUUAUAGAAAAAGUAGCAUGCUAUGCGUAAUAUUCUGCACCUUGCUUUUUUCAAUAGAGGAGUGUUCCUAUUAAAUGUUUGGUGUUUCUAUUAAGAUAGCAUUAACAAAUUAUUUUAUCACUGUUUACGAGAGGUUUGACAUCUUCCUAAUGUUGAAUCUUCCUAUUUGCUCAGAUCUUUUAUGUGCUCAAUAUUUCAAAUUUUCUUCAUCUUUAUCUUGAUAAGUAUAUUCCUAGGUGUUUUAGGUCCUUCUUUUAUAUCUUCUGAUUGUCAUUGGCAUAUACAAAAGCCACCGUACUGACUUCUUUUAUACUUUAGAAUAGUGUUUUGGGCUUUGGGUUUUCCAUGUUUAUAAUCAUAUUAUUUGCAAAUGAUGAUGGUUUUAUCUACUCUUUUCCUGUUUUUAUACCUCUAGUUUCUUUCUCUUGUCCAAUUGCAUUGGUUGUACCUCCAGAAAAGGUUAAAUAAUGAUGGAAGAAGACAACUUUGUGUUGUUUCUUACUUUAAUGAAAGUGCUUCUGGAAGAUGAUGUUUGGGUUGUUUUUAUAAAUGUUUACCUUAUUCUAUUUUAUCAAGAAUGUUUACUAAAAAUAUGUGUUGGGUUUUAUCAAUUGCCCUGUUAAUAUAUAUUGAUAAGACUUUUCCCCUCAUUUUCUCUAUUAAUAUGGUGCUUUAUAUUAGCAGAGUUCCUAAUAUUAAACCAUCCUUGUCUUUUUGGAAUAA